GGUUAAGUUAGAAAGGGCGCACGGUGAAUGCCUUGGCACUAGGAGCCGAUGAAGGACGGGACUAACACCGAUAUGCUUCGGGGAGCUGUAAGUGAGCUUUGAUCCGGAGAUUUCCGAAUGGGGAAACCCACUGUUCGUAAUGGAACAGUAUCUUUAUCUGAAUACAUAGGAUAUUGAAGGCAGACCCGGGGAACUGAAACAUCUAAGUACCCGGAGGAAGAGAAAGCAAAUGCGAUUUCCUGAGUAGCGGCGAGCGAAACGGAAUUAGCCCAAACCAAGAGGCUUGCCUCUUGGGGUUGUAGGACACUCUAUACGGAGUUACAAAGGAACGAAGUAAAUGAAGCGACCUGGAAAGGUCCGUCGAAGAAGGUAACAACCCUGUAGUUGAAACUUCGUUCCCUCUUGAGUGGAUCCUGAGUACGGCGGAACACGUGAAAUUCCGUCGGAAGCUGGGAGGACCAUCUCCCAAGGCUAAAUACUACCUAGUGACCGAUAGUGAACCAGUACCGUGAGGGAAAGGUGAAAAGCACCCCGGAAGGGGAGUGAAAGAGAUCCUGAAACCGUGUGCCUACAAGUAGUCAGAGCCCGUUAACGGGUGAUGGCGUGCCUUUUGUAGAAUGAACCGGCGAGUUACGAUCCCAUGCAAGGUUAAGCUGAUAAGGCGGAGCCGUAGCGAAAGCGAGUCUGAAUAGGGCGUUUAGUAUGUGGUUGUAGACCCGAAACCAGGUGAUCUACCCAUGUCCAGGGUGAAGUUCAGGUAACACUGAAUGGAGGCCCGAACCCACGCACGUUGAAAAGUGCGGGGAUGAGGUGUGGGUAGCGGAGAAAUUCCAAUCGAACCUGGAGAUAGCUGGUUCUCUCCGAAAUAGCUUUAGGGCUAGCCUCAUGUUGUGAGAGUCUUGGAGGUAGAGCACUGAUUGGACUAGGGGCCCCCAACGGGUUACCGAAUUCAGUCAAACUCCGAAUGCCAAAGACUUAUCCAUGGGAGUCAGACUGCGAGUGAUAAGAUCCGUAGUCAAAAGGGAAACAGCCCAGACCACCAGCUAAGGUCCCCAAGUAUACGUUAAGUGGAAAAGGAUGUGGAGUUGCUUAGACAACCAGGAUGUUGGCUUAGAAGCAGCCACCAUUUAAAGAGUGCGUAAUAGCUCACUGGUCGAGUGACUCUGCGCCGAAAAUGUACCGGGGCUAAACGUAUCACCGAAGCUGUGGAUUGACAUCUUUGAUGUCAGUGGUAGGAGAGCGUUCUAAGUGCUGUGAAGUCAGACCGUAAGGACUGGUGGAGCGCUUAGAAGUGAGAAUGCCGGUAUGAGUAGCGAAAGACAAGUGAGAAUCUUGUCCACCGAAUGCCUAAGGUUUCCUGAGGAAGGCUCGUCCGCUCAGGGUUAGUCGGGACCUAAGCCGAGGCUGAAAAGCGUAGGCGAUGGCCAACAGGUUGAUAUUCCUGUACCACCUCCCCGCCGUUUGAGUAAUGGGGGGACGCAGUAGGAUAGGGUAAGCGCGCUGCUGGAUAUGCGCGUUCAAGCAGUUAGGCUGAUGAGUAGGCAAAUCCGCUCAUCAUAAAGGCUGAGCUGUGAUGACGAGGGAAUUAUAGUACCGAAGUUCCUGAUUCCACACUGCCAAGAAAAGCCUCUAGCGAGGCGGGAGGUGCCCGUACCGCAAACCGACACAGGUAGGCGAGGAGAGAAUCCUAAGGUGAUCGAGAGAACUCUCGUUAAGGAACUCGGCAAAAUGACCCCGUAACUUCGGGAGAAGGGGUGCUCUGGUAGGGUGUAUAGCCCGAGAGAGCCGCAGUGAAUAGGCCCAGGCGACUGUUUAGCAAAAACACAGGUCUCUGCGAAGCCGCAAGGCGAAGUAUAGGGGCUGACGCCUGCCCGGUGCUGGAAGGUUAAGAGGAGGGGUUAUCCUUUGGGAGAAGCUCUGAAUCGAAGCCCCAGUAAACGGCGGCCGUAACUAUAACGGUCCUAAGGUAGCGAAAUUCCUUGUCGGGUAAGUUCCGACCCGCACGAAAGGCGUAACGAUCUGGGCACUGUCUCAACGAGAGACUCGGUGAAAUUAUAGUACCUGUGAAGAUGCAGGUUACCCGCGACAGGACGGAAAGACCCCGUGGAGCUUUACUGUAGCCUGAUAUUGAAUUUUGGUACAGCUUGUACAGGAUAGGUAGGAGCCUGAGAAGCCGGAGCGCUAGCUUCGGUGGAGGCGUCGGUGGGAUACUACCCUGGCUGUAUUGAAAUUCUAACCCGCGGCCCUGAUCGGGCCGGGAGACAGUGUCAGGUGGGCAGUUUGACUGGGGCGGUCGCCUCCUAAAAUGUAACGGAGGCGCCCAAAGGUUCCCUCAGAAUGGUUGGAAAUCAUUCGUAGAGUGUAAAGGCACAAGGGAGCUUGACUGCGAGACCUACAAGUCGAGCAGGGACGAAAGUCGGGCUUAGUGAUCCGGUGGUUCCGCAUGGAAGGGCCAUCGCUCAACGGAUAAAAGCUACCCCGGGGAUAACAGGCUUAUCUCCCCCAAGAGUCCACAUCGACGGGGAGGUUUGGCACCUCGAUGUCGGCUCAUCGCAUCCUGGGGCUGUAGUCGGUCCCAAGGGUUGGGCUGUUCGCCCAUUAAAGCGGUACGCGAGCUGGGUUCAGAACGUCGUGAGACAGUUCGGUCCCUAUCCGUCGUGGGCGUAGGAAAUUUGAGAGGAGCUGUCCUUAGUACGAGAGGACCGGGAUGGACACACCGCUGGUGUACCAGUUGUCUUGCCAAAGGCAUCGCUGGGUAGCUAUGUGUGGACGGGAUAAGUGCUGAAAGCAUCUAAGCAUGAAGCCCCCCUCAAGAUGAGAUUUCCCAUAGCGCAAGCUAGUAAGAUCCCUGAAAGAUGAUCAGGUUGAUAGGUCAGAGGUGGAAGCGUGGCGACAUGUGUAGCUGACUGAUACUAAUCGAUCGAGGACUUAACCAA
rnacentral:rRNA from 3 species